GAGGGUGUAGUUCAGUGAUAGAGCACGUGCUUAGCAUGCCUGGGGUCCUGGGUUCAAUCUCCAGCACCUUCA
rnacentral:tRNA from 1 species